UCACACUCUCUAGAGGAGACCCAGAGUUUGUCUCCCGCUCAGGACGAAUGCUGGCGGCGUGCUUAACACAUGCAAGUCGAACGGUGAUGGGUGCUUGCACCUUGAUCAGUGGCGAACGGGUGAGUAACACGUGAGCAACCUGCCCCCGACUCUGGGAUAACCCCGGGAAACCGGAGCUAAUACUGGAUAUGAGACGUACAGGCAUCUGUCGCGUCUGGAAAGAAUUUCGGUUGGGGAUGGGCUCGCGGCCUAUCAGCUUGUUGGUGGGGUGAUGGCCUACCAAGGCGACGACGGGUAGCCGGCCUGAGAGGGCGACCGGCCACACUGGGACUGAGACACGGCCCAGACUCCUACGGGAGGCAGCAGUGGGGAAUAUUGCACAAUGGGCGCAAGCCUGAUGCAGCGACGCCGCGUGAGGGAUGACGGCCUUCGGGUUGUAAACCUCUUUCAGCAGGGAAGAAGCGCAAGUGACGGUACCUGCAGAAGAAGCGCCGGCUAACUACGUGCCAGCAGCCGCGGUAAUACGUAGGGCGCAAGCGUUGUCCGGAAUUAUUGGGCGUAAAGAGCUCGUAGGCGGUUUGUCGCGUCUGCUGUGAAAACGCGAGGCUCAACCUCGCGCCUGCAGUGGGUACGGGCAGACUAGAGUGCGGUAGAGGAGACUGGAAUUCCUGGUGUAGCGGUGGAAUGCGCAAAUUUCANGAGGGACACCGGUGGCGAAGGCGGGUCUCUGGGCCGUAACUGACGCUGAGGAGCGAAAGCAUGGGGAGCGAACAGGAUUAAAUACCCUGGUAGUCCAUGCCGUAACGUUGGGCACUAGGUGUGGGCUCAUUCACGAGCUCGUGCCGCACAAACCAUUAGUGCCCGCCUGGGGAUACGCCGCAGCUAAACUCAAGGAUUGACGGGGCC
rnacentral:rRNA from 1 species